UCGUGUCUAGUGCCGUGUUCAAAAGAUCAUAGUCGUGUACAAUAUCUCGUGCACACUUGAACAUGUUCUUCAAUACACGACAUAGUACACGAAACCUGGUUAUCCCAAGUGCACAAAAUAGUACACAAUACCUGUAAACAGAUACACGAAACAGUACACGAAACCUAUAAACAUAAACAUGAAACAGUACACGAAAGUUGUUAUUAUUUAUUAAUAUCAAGUACACGAAGUCAUACACAAAAUCUAUUUCUUCAGUACACGAAUAGUACACGAAAUCUAUAAAUUAGAACACAAAGACGUACACGAAACCUGACAUCAUCCAUAGUUAUCAAGUGCACGAAAUUGUACACAAAACCUGGUUCUUCAGUACACAAAUAGUACACGAUUACAUAAUUUAAGCACAAUUUCAUCCUACAACCAACAAAAGCUCCAACAAUCCAUCCAUCCACAAUUUAAUCGUGUUUCUCCUGCUUAACACAUGUCUUAUUCUAUCAAUCCAUGAGACAUUAAACUCCAAAUAGGAUAGACUUGUCUUAUGAAACGUUCUUGAGAUCGUUCACUAACGUCGUUUCGCCGGAGGAUAUUGCGGCUAUUGGUUUGGGAGAUGUAGAGAGUGUUUGAGCAUUUCGAUUGUUGGUGGUGGUAGCCUGUAGAUAGGUGAAGGGCUACGCGUUCUCGGUUUGCAGCCUCGUGGCCGGUCGGCGACGAAAUAAACCGGCAAAGAGGGCCCACUCGUGCUUCUAUUCUAAUUUCAGCGAGAGAACAGGGGGCUUUUCUCAGCGUUUCCCUUUCUGUUCCACGGAUUUCUCGGCUGAUUGUGCGAGGAUGGCGGCGACGACGGUGGCCGGCGAAGCUCUAUUGGCGAGUUUGGAGUGGCGACGUGAUUAAGCAGAACAGCUGCUAUCCUGCUUUAACGGUUGCUGUUAAGAUAUGAUCGGAGAGGGAGCUUGGAGCUGGAAAAGGAGGGAGGGGUGGUGGUGUUCCACGGUGAUGGCGCGAAUAGGCGAGGCGGCGGCGCGCGGCUACUGCUCUCGUGUUCUGCUGACAGCAGCUGCUACGACUCCCAGCUCCUGCUGCUGCUGUCUUGAAGGAGCUGCUGUUGUGCCGGCAAGAGGCGGCUGAUGGUGAUCGGCGAGUUCGACAGCAGCGGUGGAAGUUGGCGGCGGCGGCUGGAGCUUGGCGAUGGAGAGAGUUUGAGCGAGAGAGAGAGAGUAAGCGAGAGAGAGCUGAGCGAGAGUGAGAGAUAGAGGAACAAAAUAAA